AAAAAAUAAAAGACCCAGUUCUCUCUCUCUCUUUGAACGCCCUCACUAAAAAUCCUCUGCCCCUCUCUCUCUUCUGCUGCCAAGCUUGAGAUAGAGUGGAGGUGGAGAAGAUACGGGCGGGGUUUCAGGUUUGUGUGGUGGCGCGCGGUGAAUGGAGAGUAAAGGGACCUUCAGUUUGUCCGUCUUAGGAACUUUAUCAUUCGAACCACCUCUUUAGAGAUUAUUACUUGAAUAUUUGAGACAAAUAUUCGUAAAAUAUAGAGUUUUGUAUAUAAAAAAUGUUUUAGAUUGUAUGUAGACUCGACAGGGUAUAACUAGAAAUUCAAUUAUUCCAUUAUCUAA